rnacentral:rRNA from 1 species
UACGUAGGGUGCAAGCGUUGUCCGGAAUUAUUGGGCGUAAAGAGCUCGUAGGCGGUUUGUCGCGUCUGCUGUGAAAACUCAGGGCUUAACCCUGAGCCUGCAGUGGGUACGGGCAGACUAGAGUGUGGUAGGGGAGAUCGGAACUCCUGGUGUAGCGGUGGAAUGCGCAGAUAUCAGGAAGAACACCGGUGGCGAAGGCGGCUCUCUGGGCCUUACCUGACGCUGAGGAGCGAAAGCGUGGGUAGCGAACAGG